rnacentral:rRNA from 1 species
AUGCCUUACGAUGAGCGGUACACACCGUACAUCAAGCAGGCAGGACUACUCCCGUGGAUUCUGUUGGUCAGCCGGUCCACGCCGAAUCUGAACGCUCCACUGGUGUCCGCUCUUGUUGAUCGGUGGAGGCCAGAGACCCACAGUUUCCAUCUUCGGACCGGGGAGAUGACCGUGACGCUCGAGGAUGUCUCGUUGAUCACCGGUCUUGCUAUCGACGGGAGGGGUUGGCUUCGAAAUCCACGGUCAAAUACUCCGGAUCUGAGAAGGAUUUGA